CGUCUUGGUGGCAACUUUGGUGAAGCUGCGCCCGGUGCACAUCUUGGUGGCAGUGGCAAGUGUUUGAAUGAAAGCUUUGAAGACUGAAGAGGAGAAGGGCUCCGUGUGAACAAUGCUUGGGUAUGGGUCAGCCGAUC
rnacentral:rRNA from 14 species